rnacentral:tRNA from 1 species
GCGGGAGUGGCGGAACUGGCAGACGCGCAAGACUUAGGAUCUUGUGGCCUAAAAACCGUGGAGGUUCAAGUCCUCUCUCCCGCACCA